ACAAGCGUGGAUGAUGUGGAUUAAUUCGAUGCAACGCGAAGAACUUACCUACCCUUGACAUGUCCGGAACUUGCCAGAGAUGGCUUGGGUGCCCGAAAGGGAAUCGGAACACAGGUGCUGCAUGGCUGUCGUCAGCUCGUGUCGUGAGAUCGUUGGGUUAAGUCCCGCAACGAGCGCAACCCUUAUCCCCAGUUGCCAUCAGGUAAAGCUGGGAACUCUGGGGAGACUGCCGGUGAUAAACCGGAGGAAGGCGGGGAUGACGUCAAGUCCUCAUGGCCCUUACAUCCCGGGCUACACACGUGCUACAAUGGCAGGUACAGAGGGCUGCGAAGCCGCGAGGUGGAGCGAAUCCCAGAAAACCUGUCUCAGUCCGGAUUGAAGUCUGCAACUCGACUUCAUGAAGGCGGAAUCGCUAGUAACCGCGAAUCAGCAGGUCGCGGUGAAUACGUUCCCGGGCCUU
rnacentral:rRNA from 1 species